AAGGAUUGGUCCCUAGAGCCCGCGUGGAGGCUCGCCCUGCAGCGCGCGCACCCGCCGAGCGUUUCCCCGGGGAGACCGAAACAACCGCAUGAGCACCGGCUCGGACUUUGUUUGAUUCGUUCCUGGGAACUAAGCUACACUAGUCUCUAAAUGUUUGCAAAACAAAAAUCCGUAAUAAAGUACUUUAAAUCAGGGAUGUUGGAGCAGAAAGAAAAAGAGAAUGCAUGCAGGAGAACAAGGACUUGAUUUCCUGGUGUAAGAAGCCUCAUCACUGAACAGUAUUACAUUCACACAGAAUGGCUUGUUUUUAUUUCAUCCAGAGGUGGUGUCAUCUCUAAAAGUGAAAAUAAUGUUCUUUCAGCUCGCAUUAUUAUAUCUUACAAAAAUAUUAAAUGUGUUAACUCCACCAUGAACUUAAGUGUAUGCAGUAGCUGUCAGUGGAGAUACUUAAGCUGGUCAAACCUACAACAGCAUAAACAGCACCUCCCAAGCUGUGGACAACACACAACUCAUUUCUAGGACCAUUAUAUAUAUUAAAUAAUAUAAAAGUA